rnacentral:rRNA from 1 species
AGAGUUUGAUCCUGGCUCAGGAUGAACGCUAGCGGCAGGCUUAAUACAUGCAAGUCGAGGGGCAGCAUAAAUAGCAAUAUUUGAUGGCGACCGGCAAACGGGUGCGGAACACGUACAGAACCUUCCUUCGAGCGGGGAAUAGCCCGAAGAAAUUCGGAUUAAUACCCCAUAGUAUUAUGAAGUGGCAUCACUUUAUAAUUAAAGAUUUAUCACUUGAAGAUGGCUGUGCGCCUGAUUAGGUAGUUGGCGGGGUAACGGCCCACCAAGCCUUCGAUCAGUAACUGGUGUGAGAGCACGACCAGUCACACGGGCACUGAGACACGGGCCCGACUCCUACGGGAGGCAGCAGUAAGGAAUAUUGGUCAAUGGACGCAAGUCUGAACCAGCCAUGCCGCGUGGAGGAUGAAGGUCCUCUGGAUUGUAAACUUCUUUUAUUUGGGAAGAAAAAAGAGAAUUCUUUCUCACUUGACGGUACCAGAUGAAUAAGCACCGGCUAACUCCGUGCCAGCAGCCGCGGUAAUACGGAGGGUGCAAGCGUUAUCCGGAUUUACUGGGUUUAAAGGGUGCGCAGGCGGAUAUGUAAGUCAGUGGUGAAAUCUUCCCGCUUAACGGGAAAACUGCCGUUGAUACUAUAUAUCUUGAAUGCUGUGGAGGUAAGCAGAAUAUGUCAUGUAGCGGUGAAAUGCUUAGAGAUGACAUAGAAUACCGAUUGCGAAGGCAGCUUACUACACAGAUAUUGACGCUCAUGCACGAAAGCGUGGGGAUCAAACAGGAUUAGAUACCCUUGUAGUCC